rnacentral:rRNA from 1 species
AUGUUAGAUGAGUUUGGAGCACUGACUGAGGCCUGGGUACAGAUUGAAGGAAUUCCACCUAGGUGGUGCGCCUGGAAAGUUUUUGCCCAGAUCACAGCGUGCUUUGGGAUACUGGUGGAUGUUGACUGGAAUGGGAUUUUCAAGAGUUUCUAUGAAAUUAUCCGAGUCAAGGUCGCUUGCAGAGCCCCCAGAAAGAUUCCUUUUGAGAGAUUGGUGGAGAUGAAAAAGAAACUAUACCUGCUGUUUUUUACAGUGGAAGGGUUCGAGCAAAGUGGUGAAGAUGAUGAUGGAGGGGAUGAUGAUCCAGAUCAGGAUAACCUUGAGGAAAAUGAGGAAAACAACAAUAAAAAUGCUGAAGACAAGGAAGGAAUGGAAGAAGACAAUGAUGAGGCGAUUGAUGAGCUGGACAAGGCCAACUUCCCUACCAAGACAGCCACCCCUUCUAACUCGAACAAAAACAGGUCUCAAGUGGCUGCUUCUGCAGUAGAAGUCCACUAG